rnacentral:tRNA from 1 species
CUUCUCGUGGCUUAGUAGUUAGAGCAUCGGCGCGUAAAGUCAAAGGUCCCGGGUUCUAUUCCCGGCGAGGGUG